GGGUCAGUAGGUUGGUCGUGCCACCGGUACGUACUGGUCUCACUGAUUCCUCCUUCCUGAAGAACCGUAAUGCCAUUAAUUGGGUGUUGCGGGGAAACAGGACUGUUACUUUGAAAAAAUUAGAGUGUUUAAAGCAAGAUAACGCUUGAAUACAUUAGCAUGGAAUAAUGAAAUAGGACGAUCGAUCCUAUUUUGUUGGUUUCUAGGAUUGACGUA
rnacentral:rRNA from 1 species